rnacentral:rRNA from 1 species
AACGAACGCUGGCGGCAGGCCUAACACAUGCAAGUCGAGCGAGGACUUCGGUUCUAGCGGCGGACGGGUGAGUAACGCGUGGGAAUGUGCCCUUCUCUACGGAAUAGCCCUGGGAAACUGGGAGUAAUACCGUAUACGCCCUAUUAGGGAAAGAUUUAUCGGAGAAGGAUCAGCCCGCGUUGGAUUAGGUAGUUGGUGGGGUAAUGGCCUACCAAGCCGACGAUCCAUAGCUGGUUUGAGAGGAUGAUCAGCCACACUGGGACUGAGACACGGCCCAGACUCCUACGGGAGGCAGCAGUGGGGAAUCUUAGACAAUGGGGGCAACCCUGAUCUAGCCAUGCCGCGUGAGUGAUGAAGGCCUUAGGGUUGUAAAGCUCUUUCAGCUGGGAAGAUAAUGACGGUACCAGCAGAAGAAGCCCCGGCUAACUCCGUG